AAUUUCAUAAAUAAAAAAGAAAAUUUCUUCAAACAUUUUUUUGAGAGGAUUAAUAUUCAACAGCAUAGUGAAUUGCUCUAAGAGAAAACAAAAAUUUUAAGUUCAUUAGAACACAUUCAUUCUGUGUCAGAAACCUAUGCUGUGUCAACUAUUUAAUCACAAUCCAAAUUUAGAGCUGAAUCCAGCUUGAAUGUUGUGUCCAUACUUGCCCCAACCGUUCAGGGUUCAACCUCUGCGGUCGUAUAAAGCUAUGCCCU
rnacentral:lncRNA from 1 species